GACGAACGCUGGCGGCGUGCCUAACACAUGCAAGUCGAGCGGAGAUAAGCGGAUGGUAACUGAAGUUUGUCUUAGCGGCGGACGGGUGAGUAACACGUGGGCAACCUGCCUUGGAGUGGGGGAUAACACCGGGAAAUCGGUGCUAAUACCGCAUAACAUACACAUACUGCAUGGUGAGUGUAUCAAAGGAGCAAUCCGCUUUAAGAUGGGCCCGCGGCUGAUUAGCUAGUUGGUAAGGUAACGGCUUACCAAGGCGACGAUCAGUAGCCGACCUGAGAGGGUGACCGGCCACACUGGAACUGAGACACGGUCCAGACUCCUACGGGAGGCAGCAGUGGGGAAUAUUGCGCAAUGGGGGAAACCCUGACGCAGCAACGCCGCGUGGAGGAAGAAGGUCUUCGGAUUGGUAAACUCCUGUCUUCUGGGACGAAGUAUGACGGUACCAGAGGAGGAAGCCACGGCUAACUACGUG
rnacentral:rRNA from 1 species